rnacentral:rRNA from 1 species
AAUAGAUACCCCGGUAGUCCACGCCGUAAACGAUGAAUGUUAGCCGUCGGGCAGUUUACUGUUCGGUGGCGCAGCUAACGCAUUAAACAUUCCGCCUGGGGAGUACGGUCGCAAGAUUAAAACUCAAAGGAAUUGACGGGGGCCCGCACAAGCGGCGGAGCGUGCGGUUUAAUUCGACGCAACGCGCAGAACCUUACCAGGACUUGACAUGCACCUGCAGAGCCGUGAAAGCGGUUGGCCUUCGAGGGUGGUGCACAGGUGCUGCAUGGCUGUCGCCAGCUCGUGUCGUGAGACGUUGGGUUAAGUCCCGCAACGAGCGCAACCCUCGUGGCUAGUUGUCGAUGUCUCUAGCCAGACUGCCGGUAGCAAGCCGGAGGAAGGUGGGGAUGACGUCAAGUCAGCAUGGCCCUUACGUCCUGGGCUACACGCACGCUACAAUGGCCGGGACAAUGGGCAGCCAAACCGCAAGGUGGAGCGAAUCCCACAAACCCGGUCUCAGUUCAGAUCGCGGGCUGCAACUCGCCCGCGU